UACGGAGGGGGCUAGCGUUGUUCGGAAUUACUGGGCGUAAAGCGCACGUAGGCGGCUUUGUAAGUUAGAGGUGAAAGCCCAGGGCUCAACCCUGGAAUUGCCUUAAGACUGCAUCGCUUGAAUCAUGGAGAGGUGAGUGGAAUUCCGAGUGUAGAGGUGAAAUUCGUAGAUAUUCGGAAGAACACCAGUGGCGAAGGCGACUCACUGGACAUGUAUUGACGCUGAGGUGCGAAAGCGUGGGGAGCAAACAGGAUUAGAUACCCCCGUAGUCC
rnacentral:rRNA from 1 species